UACGUAGGCAGCAAGCGUUGUUCGGAAUUACUGGGCGUAAAGAGUGUGUAGGCGGUUCUCUAAGUUCCGUGUGAAAUCUCCCGGCUCAACUGGGAGGGUGCGCCGAAAACUGGAGUGCUUGAGUGUGGGAGAGGAAAGCGGAAUUCCCGGUGUAGCGGUGAAAUGCGUAGAUAUCAGGAGGAACACCUGCGGUGUAGACGGCUUUCUGGACCAUUACUGACGCUGAGACACGAAAGCGUGGGUAGCAAACAGG
rnacentral:rRNA from 1 species